AUUGAACGCUGGCGGCAGGCCUAACACAUGCAAGUCGAGCGGUUGAAGGGAGCUUGCUCCUGGAUUCAGCGGCGGACGGGUGAGUAAUGCCUAGGAAUCUGCCUGGUAGUGGGGGAUAACGUCCGGAAACGGGCGCUAAUACCGCAUACGUCCUGAGGGAGAAAGUGGGGGAUCUUCGGACCUCACGCUAUCAGAUGAGCCUAGGUCGGAUUAGCUAGUUGGUGGGGUAAAGGCCUACCAAGGCGACGAUCCGUAACUGGUCUGAGAGGAUGAUCAGUCACACUGGAACUGAGACACGGUCCAGACUCCAACGGGAGGCAGCAGUGGGGAAUAUUGGACAAUGGGCGAAAGCCUGAUCCAGCCAUGCCGCGUGUGUGAAGAAGGUCUUCGGAUUGUAAAGCACUUUAAGUUGGGAGGAAGGGCAGUAAGUUAAUACCUUGCUGUUUUGACGUUACCAACAGAAUAAGCACCGGCUAACUUCGUG
rnacentral:rRNA from 1 species